AUCACGAUGAUUUGCGACGAGCUCGAGCAACAGUUCGCAAAAUAUCCGAGCUUAUUAUCGAUUCCAUACAUGGAAACGCCACUGUUCUCGCUUCGCUCUCCAUAAUAUCCUCGAACCUGGUACGCCUCACCUGCUGGAUCUUCAAGCACCAAACAUAAGCGUGGGCAUCGGGGAAGCUAUCCAAACCGCUGGCUGGACGGAGAAUCGUAGGCGGCUUCGCCACUUUUGUAAGGGCGAUCCACAAGCUGGUGCCUAAAGUUUACUGACCCUGUCAUGCCACAUACUCGAUUCUGUUCGAAACACGAAUCCUCGUCCGGAUAUGCCAGCCGACACAAUGGAACUCGACAGCAGCCGGAUGAGGGUCACGACGCUUGCUGCCUGAGGCUCCCGACUCUAGUGUGUUCACGGCCAGGGGUCUUGGACUCGGACUCCAGGCAUCGAGGCGGUCGUUUCCAAUGGACUUGUUGUGGUCGCCUUGCACGACGCGCAGGGAGUGCGGACGGAUCGACGUUUCUCUACUUGUUCUGUAGGCUGGAUUUUCCGUUCGGUCAUUGCUUCACCAAGGGCAAUAUCGCGUUCGACUUGCUGCGUACCGAGUGGCGCAACGUGCGCUUGCACCAGCAUCGAACAGCGUACGCACCGCGGAGAUCGCCCAGAAGAAGCCCGUGGUGGUUCGGCAUGGCACCGGGCACGGAAACGGAGAAGAGCACCUGUGGAAGCCGCCUGUCGCGGUUAGGGGCAUGGAGCGAGCGGCGAAGCAAGCCCUCACGGUCCAUAGAGCGUACGUUAUUGGCAAAGGUCUAGAGGUCAUACGUGCACACCAGACCGCAAACAAGAGUGACCGCUUGAAAGAGCGCACCGGGUCUGUAUGCAGAGAAGAUGGGCAUGGCGAACGAAGCGUGGAUCGCGACUUGUACCUGUGCCUGAUAUGGGUCGAUGAGAGCUGGAAACUGCGGGACCGGCACUUCAAACGCUGCCAACGAUGUCCAUCGCCUGCUGGCAACGGAGCUGGAGUGGCAGGAGUGUCCGGUGUACGCAGGUCCGCAGGAAAGCGACGGGGUACGGAAGCGGCUCAAGAAAAGGUCCAAAACCGCAGGUUUCGUUGACAGUACCAAGAGAUCCACACUGUCAUAUGCGCACCCGAGUUUGAGCUCCUGUUCCAUUUUAUGCCGUGUGAUGGAUGUGAUGCCGUGCACGAGAGGCGCGUUAUCACCCAGGCAGGCAAUCGCAGCGCUCCACCAUUGCAAGUCAACGUCUCAGCGACAAUCACGAGGCGAUCCUAGGUAUUUCUCUUGCUCAUUCCAGUACGCUGCUGAGAUUAUUUGUAAUGGAUUACAGUGUUUGGGUGGUUUAUCCGGAUUCCAUCAAGUUCCACAAAGCAUAUGCAUAUCGCCCGAAAAGAUCCAGAAGAUGAUUUUCUCAUUUAUGAGUAUCUUGGUGGCAAGCUUAUCGAUCGGGAACGCCACCACACAAGUUUCACGCUAUGUGGAAAAGUAAAACCCCCUCA